AUGCGGCAGGCUCGGACAGAUUCUGGUCGCCCUGAGCCAUGCUGGCGGCGGGGCGCCCCACUCCCUUCUCCCCUCUCCUCGGCUGACAACGAGACAGUGUGCAACACACAACUACCUAGGAGUCUAGGAAACAAGCGCUGCAUUCGGGUUAGAAACAAGGAUUACCUUCUAAAACAAGUUCAGACACCAGCAGAGAGACUCACCGUUCUCCUGAAAGCCCGGCUUGCUUCUCUGAGUAGUCAGCUGAGUGCUGCACCUGAUGCAUAUCCUGUAUCCCUUGCCCCAGAGGAGGAGGAGGAGGAGGAGGAGGAGAGCCCUGAAAGGAUGAUCCUCCUCCUCCUCCUCCCUGAAGGGACCAUCCUGCAGGAACUUAGCAGCGCUUGCUGCACCCCAGAACUCUCUUCCCUCCCUCCCUCCCUCCCUGAGCAUCCCACGAAGGGGUUCCCAGAGGCAGGUCUCUCCAUCAAGGGGGCCUCCUUAGGACCAGGCGGAAGGAGCGGGGCAGAGGCACCUCUGGGGAAACCAGAAGAGGCCAGCCUCAGAGAGCCACCUGAUCCUCCAAAGAAUCCGUUGGGCAACCCAGCUGCCGCCGCCUGGAGCCACAGAGACCUGCCACAUGAUCAAGAAGGGAGAGGCCAGGAAGUGGGUUGGCUUCCUGGCCAGAAGGAGGGCAUAAGAAGCCAGCUGGGCUCAGUCCGCCUCUCUGGCUGCUGCAGAGGGAGAGCAUCAGCGGAGCAGGGAGAGGAGCAGGAAGGAAGGAAGAGCCAGUAUGGGAGACCAAGCCACAAACUCACACUUACUACAACAACAGUGAACAUUGAUCUACUGUUUUCCCAUCUAAAUUCUCAAAGUGGUUUUCACAGAAAAAUAAAAGGGUGGAUCGAGGCUUCUCUGUCUCCAAAGGGCUCACACUCUAAAAAGAAAAAGGUGGGCGGCACCAGCAACCACCACUGGACAGAUGCUGUGCUGGGCCUUCUCUUCAAAGGCACAUGGAGCAGGAGAGGGGCCUUUUCUCUAACGUGGACCCACUAAAACAGGUACAGUUUUUUAACUUUAAUUCUCAGUUGGAAGCUGGGCGUGUGGGGCCCUCGAAAAUGUGGGCCUUUGGCAAAUGCUACAUGUGCUACUAUGUUCCUCCGCCAGAGCAGGGAGGCUUCGGAAGCCGCGUCUCCUGGUGCCAAGUCACUUCGGUUGGGGGAAGUCCCGAUACCACCGGCUCUGGGGGAGGAAUCUGCGGAAGCCGACCAGCAGCCGCUUGGCCUGCAGAAGCUUCCAGGUCUGGUCCCCAACGGCACCUUCCUGGGAAACGGAGCACACUGGGGAAGGGUCCGAGAAACGCAGGCGGCUGCUGCUGCUGCUGGAGAACCUCUCCCACUCCAGGGUUGGCAGAAGUGGGCUGGGGAAUCCCUGGGCUGACUCGCUGGAAAGCACCUUCCAAUGUUGGUUCAGUGCAGAGGAAGGAGAGCUGGCCUCGGGGCAGCAAGCAGGAGUUGUCUGUCCUUUGUUAAGGAGGGCCCACUCUGGUUUGUAUUUGGAUGGGAGACUACAUGUGUGAGCAAGGGAAGAGAUUCCCCUCAAAGGGAUAAUGGGGCCGCUCUGGGAGGAGUACACGUAGGCUCACAAGCAGAAGGUUCCCAGUUCCCUCCCUGGCAGCAUCUCCAAAAUAGGGCUGAGAGAGAGAUUCCUGCCUGCAACCUGGGAGAAGCUGCUGCCAGUCUGGGUAGACAAUCCUGAGCUGGAUGGACCAAGGGCCUGACUCGGUAGAAGGCAGCUUCCUGUGUUCCAGUAACUGGCAUCUCCAGCGCACAAGGAUCUCUGCAAGGCUGAGGAAAACCUCCUGCUAAACAGCCUUGGAGACCAUACUGGGCUCAGUGGACUGCUGGUUAGCACGUUGGAGCAGGGAGACCCAGGUUCGAAUCCUUGUUCAGCCAUGACCCUCACUGGGUGACUCUGGGCCAGUUUCCUCUCUCUCUCAGCCUAACCCCUGCUAACUUGGCAAAGAGGCACCUUUUAACAUUGUGAUUCUCUUUAUUUAGCAGGCCAUUCUCUUUAUCCAUUCUCUUUAUUUAGCAGGGGGAGAAUAACUGGCCCUAUCUACCCCCAGCACAGGACCUCCAGUGGCUGUUGCUGGUGUCUAUCUUGAGUUUCUUUUUAGAUUGUGAGUCCUUUGGGGACAGGGAGCCAUCUUAUUUAUUUAUUAUUUCUCUGUGUAAACCGUCCUGGGCCAUUUUUGGAAGGGCGGCAUAGAAAUCAUAAUAACAACCACCACCACCACCUACCUCACAAGGUUGUCAUGAGGAUAAACAUCCAGGUACUGCCACCUAAUGGUGCAGCAGGGAAAUGACUUGACUAGCAAGCCAGAGGUUGCUGGUUCAAAUCCCCGCUGGUAUGUUCCCCAGACUAUAGGAAACACCUCUAUCGGGCAGCAGUGAUAUGGGAAGAUGCUGAAAGGCAUCAUCUCAUACUGAGCGGGCGUAGGCAAUGGUCAACCCCUCCUGUAUUCCACCAAAGACAACCACAGGGCUCUGUGUGCGCCAGGAGUUGAAAUUGACUCAACAACACACUUUACCUUUAAACUACUCAGGGCUCCUUGGAGGAAGAGUGGGUUAUACAUAUAAAAACAAAGACAUACAAUACGGGGUACAAGCCUAUAUUUUUCUACCUGAUCUCCAGUGUGGGAUAGGUUUUUCAAAAUGUUUUAACAGUUUCCCUUUUCAUCUCUUACAGAAAAGGAAACCUUUGAUUUCAACAAAAGCCUCCAGAGACUUGCGUUUGCACCCAUCGAUUAGAGAGGACUCCUUUGCCCAUCCCAGUUUAGGCCCUCAAAUUGGGGCUGAAUUGGCCUUCAGGGCUGGGGCUGCCAUCUGGGACCCCAAGUUUGAGCACUCCUGCCGUACAGCAAAAUCCUUCUCCUGCCACUCUGUGGCCUUAAGCGGGGGUCCCAACCGUGGUGUGAAGGCCAUCUCGACAGGGUAGGAUGAAAAGGAAACCUUUGAUUUCAACAAAAGCCUCCAGAGACUUGCAUUUGCAUCCAUUGAUGAGAGAGGACUCCUUUGCCCAUCCCAGUUUAGGCCCUCAAAUUGGGGCUGAAUUGGCCUUCAGGGCUGGGGCUGCCAUCUGGGACCCCAAGUUUGAGCACUCCUGCCGUACAGCAAAACCCUUCUCCUGCCACUCUGUGGCCUUAAGCGGGGGUCCCAACCAUGGUGUGAAGGCCAUCCCGACAGGGUAGGAUGGUGAGCCCCCUUUUUUUGACCACAGUGUGCCCCAGACAGCUAGGCCGUGGGGCGUUUGGGGGUGAGACACACCAAAAGGGGGGUUCUUUUAGCAAAAGGGUAAGGAUAUGGGGAGUGGGGAGAGGUUAGACCACCACACCUUAAACCAAAUAUAAGCAAGCUAACUCGCCUGUUUGAGCAGAGAUUGCAUGUUGAGUCUCCAAGUUCCCCAGAAAGAUCCCUCAUAAAAUUACCAAUAGCUAGAUAAAGACCACAAUAAGAGAGAAAAUACUGUAUUGUGAAAUAUAUACAAUACGUGUAUGUUACAUUUAUAUUAAUGUAAACGGCUGCCAGUGCACUGGAGGAACGGGGUAUACAUAUUUUUGAUGUUGGAUCUUCCAAGUGGUGUCUUAACCUGGGUCAUGUCUGCCUUGGAGCGCCACUUGCCCCACCCUGGUCCAGCAGGGCUUGGCUUCCACAGUGUUUGGCUACUCCACCCCCCAGGCAUAGGGCAGCCUUGCUCUCUCCGUGUCCUCCCUCCAUCCACCCACCUCACUCCCUUGACAUCUGUUAAGAACAAGUGCUGGCCUCAGAAGCAUUUUUUAAACUACAGGUUUUGCAAUUUUGUAGUUUAAUUAAAAAAACACACACUAAAAAGGCAAUCAAAGAUUAUGUAAAUGUUCACAGAGAAGCAAUACCAGAAAAACCAAACGAUAACUUCCAAAAAUAUAGAUGUAUACAAUUUAACAUAUGCAGUUCUGGAUUCAUUUUUUCCUCCAAGUAUUUAUAUACACAAAUAUUCAGACACACAUGCAUACACACACAUCUCUCCACAUACAUCAUACUUGCAUGCCAGACAUAUCGGGCUCUCUCUUUAGCUUAUCUUCAGUGGUUUCAAGCAAAACAAGCCACUGUAUGUUAUCAUUCCAGGAAUUGAUUAAAAGGGACCAAUUCUGAAUAGAUUUUCGGUUUGCCUUCCUUCCCUUGUUCUGACAUUAGUCAAUUUGAUUAGGCACACUAUAUCCCAUACCUUAAGAAGCCAUUCAUACCACACUGGUGAAUCUGGAUUUGUCUAGAUGGUACUAAUUACAACUCUGGCAGCAGUCAGUAAGUGGAUGAUUAACUCUUGGAGGGUUUUCAGAUAGCAGGUUUUACCACCUGUUUACUGUGAGGCUUUACUGUGAUUUUGAAGUUGCCCCUCCAAAAAAUUUGGAUUUUUUAAAAACCCUGGAUAUACUCCAACGUGCAAUCAAAAAAACUGAAUGUGUGAUGUGCUCCCCAAUAGCUUGCAGGGACUCUGGGGUAAGUCUGGCUGGCAUGUGAACACAGCCUUCUAUUCCAGCGAAGAAGCAAGCUAAAAGCUCCGUGUGAAACAUGCCCUAAUGUCUUCCCUUAAUACCACUGUGUUAAUAUUAUUACUAUUACUAUUAUUAUUAUUAUUAUUAGUAGUAGUAUGUAUGUAUUCGAUUUCUAUACUGCCCUUCCAAAAAUGGCUCAGGGCAGUCUAUAUAGAGAAAUAAAUAAAUAAGAUGGAUCCCUGUCCCCAAAGGGCUCACAGUCUAAAAAGAAACAUAAGACAGACACCAGCAACAGCCACCAGAGGUCCUGUGCUGGGGGUGGAUGGGGCCAGUUACUCUCCCCCUGCUAAAUAAAGAGAAUCACCACGUUGAAAGGUGCAUCUUUGCCAAGUUAGCAAAAUGACAGAAUUGGAUAGUUAAGAGGUUUCAAAGGCAAUCAGUAACCAAUAGAUUUACAAGCCAGCCUAGUGACAUCCUAUAGCCCAGCCUAUUUUGUAUCAGUUAGGAUGAUACCCCUUUCUGUAUCCACUGGAGUUACUGAUUUAUGCAAAGUAGUUUUAAAACCCCUUUCUUGGAGCCUGAAGUCUCAAUUUUUCCAGUGACGUUAAAUCUAAGUUUGACCAUAGCUUGGAGGCAAUGUUUGUGUUAUAUGGCGAAUCUGUAAUUACUGAAACUGUGGGAUUCUAUUCUGCUCCAUCCAUUGGGAGAAGAACAUAAGAUCUCAUCUCGAAUCAAGCUUUUAAGUGUGAUUAACUCAUAUUCUUUCCAUAAGUGAAUAUUACCCAAAAGAUGUUUAUUUUCAAUUUCCUUAUUGCAACAGAAAGACAGAGGAUAGGAUCUUGGACUGAGCCAGGUUUGAAUGUGAGAGCCAGUGUGGUGUAGUGGUUAGAGUGCUGGACUAGGACCGGGGAGACCCGAGUUCAGAUCCCCACUCAGCCAUGAAACUAGCUUGAUGACUCUGGGCCAGUCACUUCUCUCUCAGCCUCACCUACUUCACAGGGUUGUUGUGAAAGAGAAACCUAAGUAUGUGGUAGGAACCCUCUGGGCUCCUUGGAGGAAGAGUGGGAUAUAAAUUUAGUAAUAAUAACAACAACAACAACAGCAUGUUAUUUUAUAACAAGUUGAUGCAGAGUUAAAAUGGAUUUGGAUACAUAGUCUCUCUGGGUUAGGGGGAAUUGCUGCUUUACAGAUGGAAGGUAUUGCCUGGGAUAUUGUUUUUGCUUUUGAAUAUCCUCUUUUCAGUACCAGCAUCCAUUUUUAAAGCAUGGCAGGAAAUCAUCAAGUUGACAUGGGUCGAUAAACCCCCUAGACUUUUGAUGAAAACUUUGUGUAAGCCAUUGAAUAAGAGGCAUGACACUCCCUUGAAUGGAAAAAUAUAUAUAUUAGGAAGCAGCUCUUAACCCAACUACUGUUUUGGUGUUCUGGGGAGAGAGCAGUAUUAUUAGAGCAACAAGAUCUUUCAGCAUGUUUGAAGGAUGUGCUUUGAUAUUCCACAAAGAAGGAUCCACUACUAAGUCUCACCAAGGCUCUUUACACCGUCUUGUAUUUUGUUGGUCGGUGACUAGAAUAAAGAUUCCGUUGCAAGGCUCUUUACCCUAACCAGUUAAAAUUCAAAAGUUUGCUUUAUUUUUCUUUCCAGAUUUACUUGCCUUGUCCGCGGCCUCUCGGAAGUCUUGGUCCAGAAUGAGACACAUGAUCUAUUUAGAUAUUGGGAAUUGGCUGUGUUUUACCUCACUUGUCACCUUAAGGGGCGCAGCGGGGAAGUGCUUGACUAACAAGCAGAAGGCUGCCGGUUCGAAUCCCCGCUGGGCCCAUAUCGGGCAGCAGCGAUAGAGGAAGAUGCUGAAAGGCAUCAUCUCUUAAGCUAUUGGGAGAGAAGUGGUCUAGCUGGAGAAGCCACUGGCCCCCUUCUGCCCUGCCCAGGCACUGUAAAACUGUGUCUGGAUUAGGGUCAGGGAGACCCGAGUUCAAAUCCUCAUUCAGCCAUGAAACUCACCGGGCAACUCUGGGUCCAUCAUUUCUCUCUUAGCCUAACCUACCUCAUAGGGUUGUUGUUGUGAGGAGAAACCACCAUGUACACCACUCUGGGCUCCUUGGAGAAAGUGGGAUAUAUGUGUAAAGAUAAAAGUAAAACCCAGGAUGCUGUACACAUGCUCAGUGACUUCAAAUCACCACUUUCUGCUCCUGAUAGUUAUGCUUUGUGUCUACAGAAAUCAGACUAUUGAACUACAACUCCCAUCCCAGAGCUAAUAGGUGACCCAGGCAUGCAGCCUCUUUCUGCCUAUACUUUCAUACUGCCUCAUUUAAAUAGCCCUGAAUCGUAAUAUAAAUUUCUUUACAACCAGUAAAAUACAUACUACAUGCGUAUAUAUACAAUAUAAACCACCUAAUGGUGUAGUGGGGAACUUGCCUAGCGAGCCAGAGGUUGCUGGUUCGAAUCCCCGCUGGUAUGUUUCCCAGAGUAUGGGAAGCUGCUAUAUCGGGUAGUGAUGUGCACGAACCGGUCCGGAGGCCAUUAUAGAGGCCUCCGAACUGGUUCAAACGUGGCCCGGUCCAGAUGUCCGGCGCUGAGGGGGGGUCUCCCUUUAAGGGUGGGGUGGGUUGUACUUACCCCUCCCGCCACUUUUCCCUCUCCAGUGCUCCAUUUUCUGACAAAGUUUUUGGUGCAGCAGCAUUCUUCCCUGCCCCCGUUAUUUUCUAGAAAUACUGGAAGUAGCUGCCGUGCAUGUGCUCGCUUCUGCGAUCUCCCAGAUAGGGCUGGGAGAGACUCCUGCCUGCAACCUGGGAGAAGCCGCUGCCAGUCUGGGUAGACAUUCCUAAGCUAGAGGGACCAAGGGUCUGACUGCGUAUAUGGCAGCUUCCUGUAAGGUUGGAGGUGGCCUAUAGCCCGCAGGCAUUGAUAAACCUGCCCUCCAUACAUUUCUCUAAUCCACUUUGAAAGUCAUCCAAGCUAGUGGCCAUCACUGCAUCCCAUGGCAGAGAAUCUCAUUAAUUGUGUGCUGUGUGUCCACUUUUGUCAGUGAGACAUUGUAGUUCAAAAACAGCUGGAGAGUCAAGUUUGUCCACCCCUGUCCCAGGGCAAGCUACUCAGAAAACAGUUUCCAAUUACGGAUCAUGGGAAGCUGCCUUCUACCAAGUCAGAGCCCUGGGUCCAUCUAGAUUAGCAUUGGCCACAUGGACUGGCUGCAGCAAGGUUGUAGACAGGAGUCUCUCUCAGCCCAAUCUGGAGAUGCUGCCAGGGAGGGAACUUGGAACCUUCUGCAUGCAAGCAGGCAGGAGCUCUUCCCAGAACGGCCCCAACCCCUAAGGGGAAGAUCUUGCAGUGCUCACACAUGUAGUCUCCCAUUCAAAUGCAAACCAGGCUUGACCCUGCUUAGCAAAGGGGCAAUUCAUGCUGGCUACCACAAGACCAGCUCUCCUCCCAUAUUUAAUGCUUCCCUGGUAGUGUAGAUUGCCUGGAGGUCUGUGUCGCUUACCUCCUUUCAAUCUCUGGAAUUCUGUUGGUUAAGGACAGCUUACAUCACCUGCUGUCUUAGGGUAUUAGAAAGGGGAUAAGAUUUACAUUUUAAGUGUCUUGUUUGGAUUAUGCUUUUCACCAUCAUCUCAUAGUCUUGUGCUGAGAAUCAGCACCUCAUAAAUGCCGAGUCUAUGGCUUGUGUGUGUGUAUAUAUGAAGAACUUCAUCAGAAGAGACACUGGACAGACCCUGAGAAUAUAGGAUCAAAUUGACCAUGGCUCUAUUCCUAUUGGUGUCCAUUUGGGCAACCAAGUUCUGAGUUUCAACCCUGCCAGAUACCUAAACCAGAUCACCGUGCCAAAAUACCGCAGAGCUUUGACACAGGCAUGAUGUAACCCCUUGCAAACAGCAGUCCUGGUGUUGCGAGAAAAUCCUCUGGAACCUUGCCUUCCUGUUUAAUGCAGUCCCUUGCUUUCAUCCUUCCAUCAGAUUUGACAGAGAAUGGGGCGUCUUACUGAACUAAAGAGGAUUAGGCAAGGUUCCCUUAAUAGAGCUCCUUGCCUGACAGAAUUGAGUCAAAUUCAACAAGGGGUGUGUGCUCAAAUAAGCCUUUUAUUCAUGAUCAUGAAGGCAGAGUACAAGCCAAAAAAGUCUGACAAGCACUGCAUGCCCAACAUACACAGUUGCCAGUUUAUACAGAUUUUUAAAAGCAAGCAAAUCAGUAAAUCCUGCAAUACAUGUCUUUGUAAUUAAACAGAUGUUUUCAUGUUGUGUCAAUUAGCCUUGGACAUGAGGUACUGUUUGGCCUAUCCGCCCUCCCUACUCCUUAUCAGUAUCUUCUGGUGCCAGCUAUGUCUCUUUUUCUGCUGAGUGGGGAAUUUGUCUCAGUACCUUGGCUACAUACAUUAUCUCCUAUCAGGCUCUGGUAUUUGUUCCUUGAACAUUCUUGUUCAGGCCUGCUAGCCCUAUGCUCUGUUAGGAGCCUGAACCAAACGUUUAUACACUUAUUUGUGAACCUGGAUUAAACAUUUCUAUAUUACUGGAAGGGAGAUAUCAAAAAAAUCCCCCACAAAGAAUGCACUUGUCUCUGCAAAUCCGGAGAUAUUGAAACAACGGCUCAUGUGAUCCUUUACUGUCAAUAUUACUGAGAUAUACAGCAUAAACAUAUAACCCCCACUUUUUAGCUGCCAUCCAGGCUGUACAGAUUCUUUUUAUCUUUUUUAACUGACCAGAAUUACUUGAGAUCUUAUAAUGUGGCUACGUUCUGUUUAAUAGCCAGUAACAUUCACCAGGAGUUCAUUAAGAAUCCUUGUUAACUGAUCUUUAUGCUCAACUAUGUGCUUAUCUACUGUAUGAUAACCCUGUAGGUUAUGUAGGUUUUUUUUGGGGG